UGAGAGUGUCCGGAGUGAACAUGACCCUGUU
rnacentral:piRNA from 1 species